rnacentral:rRNA from 1 species
AGAGUUUGAUCCUGGCUCAGGACGAACGCUGGCGGCACGCCUAACACAUGCAAGUCGAACGGAGAUGAUUUGAGUUUACUUAGAUCAUCUUAGUGGCGGACGGGUGAGUAACACGUGAGCAACCUGCCUUUGAGAGAGGGAUAGCUUCUGGAAACGGAUGGUAAUACCUCAUAACAUACAGAUACCGCAUGGUGACUGUAUCAAAGAUUUAUCACUCAAAGAUGGGCUCGCGUCUGAUUAGAUAGUUGGUGAGGUAACGGCUCACCAAGUCGACGAUCAGUAGCCGGACUGAGAGGUUGAACGGCCACAUUGGGACUGAGACACGGCCCAGACUCCUACGGGAGGCAGCAGUGGGGAAUAUUGCACAAUGGGGGAAACCCUGAUGCAGCGAUGCCGCGUGGAGGAAGAAGGUUUUCGGAUUGUAAACUCCUGUCUUAAAGGACGAUAAUGACGGUACUUUAGGAGGAAGCUCCGGCUAACUACGUGCCAGCAGCCGCGGUAAUACGUAGGGAGCGAGCGUUGUCCGGAAUUACUGGGUGUAAAGGGAGCGUAGGCGGGACGGCAAGUCAGAUGUGAAAUACAUGGGCUCAUCCCAUGGGCUGCAUUUGAAACUGCUGUUCUUGAGUGAAGUAGAGGUAAGCGGAAUUCCUGGUGUAGCGGUGAAAUGCGUAGAUAUCAGGAGGAACACCGGUGGCGAAGGCAGCUCACUGGAGCGCAACUGACGCUGAAGCUCGAAAGUGCGGGUAUCGAACAGGAUUAGAUACCCUGGUAGUCCGCACGGUAAACGAUGGAUGCCCGCUGUUGGUCUGAACAGGUCAGCGGCCAAGCGAAAGCAUUAAGCAUCCCACCUGGGGAGUACGCCGGCAACGGUGAAACUCAAAGGAAUUGACGGGGGCCCGCACAAGCGGAGGAACAUGUGGUUUAAUUCGAUGAUACGCGAGGAACCUUACCCGGGCUUGAAUUGCAGAGGAAGGAUUUGGAGACGAUGACGCCCUUCGGGGUCUCUGUGAAGGUGCUGCAUGGUUGUCGUCAGCUCGUGCCGUGAGGUGUCGGCUUAAGUGCCAUAACGAGCGCAACCCCUCUCCUUAGUUGCCAUCAGGUUAAGCUGGGCACUCUGGGGACACUGCCACCGUAAGGUGUGAGGAAGGUGGGGAUGACGUCAAAUCAGCACGGCCCUUACGUCCGGGGCUACACACGUGUUACAAUGGCAGGUACAGAGAGACGGUUGUACGUAAGUACGAUCAAAUCCUUAAAGCCUGUCUCAGUUCGGACUGGGGUCUGCAACCCGACCCCACGAAGCUGGAUUCGCUAGUAAUCGCGCAUCAGCCAUGGCGCGGUGAAUACGUUCCCGGGCCUUGUACACACCGCCCGUCAAGCCAUGAAAGCCGGGGGCGCCUAAAGUCCGUGACCGUAAGGAGCGGCCUAGGGCGAAACUGGUAAUUGGGGCUAAGUCGUAACAAGGUA